rnacentral:rRNA from 1 species
AUUGAACGCUGGCGGCAGGCUUAACACAUGCAAGUCGAGCGGUAACAGAGAGGAGCUUGCUUCUCUGCUGACGAGCGGCGGACGGGUGAGUAAUGCCUAGGAAUCUGCCUAGUAGUGGGGGAUAACUUGCCGAAAGGUAAGCUAAUACCGCAUGCGUCCUACAGGAGAAAGGAGGGGACCUUCGGGCCUUUCGCUAUUAGAUGAGCCUAGGUCGGAUUAGUUAGUUGGUGAGGUAAUGGCUCACCAAGACCGCGAUCCGUAACUGGUCUGAGAGGAUGAUCAGUCACACUGGAACUGAGACACGGUCCAGACUCCUACGGGAGGCAGCAGUGGGGAAUAUUGGACAAUGGGGGGAACCCUGAUCCAGCCAUGCCGCGUGUGUGAAGAAGGUCUUAGGAUUGUAAAGCACUUUAAGUUGGGAGGAAGAGCAGUUAACUAAUAUUUGACUGUUUUGACGUUACCGACAGAAUAAGCACCGGCUAACUUCGUGCCAGCAGCCGCCGUAA